rnacentral:rRNA from 1 species
AACGAACGCUGGCGGCAGGCCUAACACAUGCAAGUCGAGCGGGCGUAGCAAUACGUCAGCGGCGGACGGGUGAGUAACACGUGGGAAUAUGCCUUUCGGUUUGGAACAACUCGGGGAAACCCGUGCUAAUUCCGGAUACGCCCUUAGGGGAAGAUUUAUCGCCGAAAGAUUAGCCCGCGUCCGAUUAGCUAGUUGGUGAGGUAACGGCCCACCAAGGCGACGAUCGGUAGCUGGUUUGAGAGAACGACCAGCCACACUGGGACUGAGACACGGCCCAGACUCCUACGGGAGGCAGCAGUGGGGAAUCUUGGACAAUGGAGGAAACUCUGAUCCAGCCAUGCCGCGUGAGUGAUGAAGGCCUUCGGUU